CUUUGCCUGGGCAUGCCCACAGCAGACCGGGGGCCCACCUGCGUACCGGGAGAGUGGGGUGGAGCCACCGGGAAUUCACGCCUGAUGCCCGGGGAGGAGUCUGGCCUCUUCAGCUCCUGUGUGGUGGCCUGAUAUUCAGUCUGUGAGCUGGGAGCCUGUUGGCAGGUCCCUCUUUUUAUUUUCGCUGAGAGCUUUCUUUUACUAAAUGCCACCAUCCUUACCUUUCAAGGUGUCUGCGUGCCUAAUUUUUCCUGGUUGUUAGACAAGAACCCGGAUUUUAGUUGAACUCUGGAGCAAAAAUCCUGCAUCAUUUGUAGGUGGGUGUCAUUGUGACUGGCUGCUACCUCCCCAUGAGUCUUCUAAAAUAAAACCUGCAAAUUCACAUCUUCCCCAUGCUUCCAGAGAAUGCAUAUUCUUCCUUUGAAAAAAGAAAACCAGAAGCUCCAUACUAAAAUAAUGGUCCUAAUAUUAAGCAAAGUAAAAUGUGGUAUGAUUUUGAGUGGUCAGCAGAGUGUAAGAAUAAUCUAUUUGCACUUGAUACUUUCAGCUGUCACAGAGGUCAUAGAAUUGGGCUUAUUGAGAAGGAAAGGUAAAUGCUAGUACACUACUUGGCUCAGAAGUGAACAAAAUUGCAGUUUGCUCAAACAACUCCAUAGGAAAAAGUCUAAUAAUCUGAUGUAAAAAUGGGCAGAAGAUUUGAAUAGAUAUUUCUCAAAAGAAGACAUACGAAUGGCAAACAGACAUAUGAAAAUGUACUCAAAAUCAUUGAUCAUCAGAGAAAUGUAAAUCAAAACUGCAAUGAGAUAUCAUCCGACUCCAGUUAAAAUGGCUUUUAUCCAAAAGUCAGGCAAUAAAAAAUGCUGGUAAGGAUGUAGAGAAAAGGGAACCCUUGUACACUGUUAGUGGGAAUGUAAAUUAAUACAAUCACUAUGGAGAACAGUUUGGAGGAUCCUCAAAAAACUAAAAAUAGAGCUACCAUAUGAUUCAGCAAUCUCACUGCUAGGUAUAUACCCAAAAGUAUAUUGAAGAGACAUCUGCACUCCCAUGUUUGUUGCAGCACUGUUCAUAAUAGCCAAGAUUUGGAAGCCACCUAAGUGUCCAUCAACAGAUGAAUGGAGAAACUGUGGUACAUAUACACAACGGAGUGCUAUUCAGCCAUAAAAAAGAAUGAUACUCUGUCAUCUGCAACAACAUGAAUGGAACUGGAGAUCAUUAUGUUGUUAAAUAAGCCAGACACAGAAAGACAAACAUCACAUAUUUUCACUUAUUUUGGGGAUAUAAAAGUCAAAACAAACUCAUGGAGAUAGAGAACAGAUAGACGGUUACCAGAGGCUAGGAGGAGGAGUGGUGGGGGGCAGUUAGUGAUGGUUAAUUGGUACAAAAAAAUGGUUAGAAAUAAUAAAUAAGACCUAGUAUUAGAUAGGACAACAGGAGGACUAUAGUCAAAAAUAAUUUAUUUGUACAUUUCAAAGUAACUAAAAGAGUGUAAUUGUAUUAUUUGUAGCACAUAGGAUAAAUGCUUGAGGUGACGGAUACCCCAUUUACCCUGAUGUGAUUAUUACACAUCGUAUGCCUGUACCAAAAGAUCUCAUGUACCUCAUAAAUACAUACACCUACUAUAUACCCACACAAAUUAAAAAUUAAAAAAAUUUAAAGAAAUUACAGUUUGUUGGUUUUGAAUAUUUGACCAAAUUUUUUACUAAGCACAGAUAGAUUGAAUAUAAUUUUAUUGUCCUUUUGACAUUAUGAUAAUGAAGGUAUCUACACAGAAGUCUGAGAUGAGAAAAAAAUGAUAUAAUAUCCACCUACUACAUAGUGGGUAGUUUAUAUACUAAAGUUAUUGUUAUGAGAAAGAAUGGCUUAGGAAUAUUAUUUAAAAUUAAUUAAGGGGUGUUAAAAAUAAAAUACCAAGUGUAAAAAUGACAAAGGCAAGAAGAAACAGUAUAUAAUGUGAGUAAAUCUUAAUCUUUCCAAGAGAGGAGACAGUACAUAAUGUCUAAAAUUGUUAAACCAUGAAAUAGAAAUAUAGUUAUUUUAUUCAUAAUUAAGGAGAUAACUACUAUAGCACGAAAUCGUGCCAAAAAUGGUUGCCUCUGGGAAAUGUGAUUAUAGAUAUUAUAAUAUUUUGGACUGUAAAAAUCUGCUUUUAAGACUGAGGAAAUACAAAUAGGACAAUAUUUAUUUGAAAUUUGUAUCCUCAGGGAGUGUAAAGAAAUUAAUGUAUCCACAAAAUAAUAAUAGCUGCUAUUUGAAAACAUAGUUUUCUUGAAAGUUAAAAUAGUAAUAGUCUUCUAAAAAUUUUGUUAGUUUUGGUUUUCUCUUUAAUCUGAGUUAUGUAGAAAAGUGCUUAUUUCAAAUUAGGUAGGCUUGUUUUAUUCCUUUUUCUGUCUUUUUUCUAUCAACUAGUGUUUUAUUGUGUUCAGAAAAUGCCAUGCAUUAAAAGACUACUUUUGAGAAUUUCUAGAGAUUUUCUUUGUUACUAAAGAGAUUUUUGUAAUUGUUACAUGGGAUUUUAAAAAGAAUGUAAAUUAUCCUUUUUGUCAAGUAUAAUGAUUUCUGAAACCUAGCUGUGUCAGAAUACUGUAUAAUACUGUAAUAGUAUGUUGUUUUUGGCUAUGUGUACUUAUUUCUUAGAGUGGUAUGUUAAAGCCUCGACCUUGUGACUUUGUUUAUUUCUCUCUCUACAUCUAAACAUUUCCAAGACAUGUUAUUUGCAAUACCAAGACCAUAACUAUUAUGUAUUUAAUCAAAAUAAAAUAUUUCGGCUCUCUAUAAUUCACCUUGAACUUUAUUUUGUUAAAUAUAAAUGUUGUUGAUUAUACAACAUUUCAUUAUCAAUCCCUAGACACAUUUCUAAUCCACUAUAAUUGUUUUAAAAUAAAAGGAGAAGGGAAGGUUGUA
rnacentral:lncRNA from 1 species